AUUGAACGCUGGCGGAAUGCUUUACACAUGCAAGUCGAACGGCAGCACGGGGCAACCUGGUGGCGAGUGGCGAACGGGUGAGUAAUACAUCGGAACGUGCCCAAUCGUGGGGGAUAACGUAGCGAAAGUUACGCUAAUACCGCAUACGAUCUACGGAUGAAAGCGGGGGAUCGCAAGACCUCGCGCGAGUGGAGCGGCCGAUGUCAGAUUAGGUAGUUGGUGGGAUAAAAGCUUACCAAGCCGACGAUCUGUAGCUGGUCUGAGAGGACGACCAGCCACACUGGGACUGAGACACGGCCCAGACUCCUACGGGAGGCAGCAGUGGGGAAUUUUGGACAAUGGGCGCAAGCCUGAUCCAGCCAUGCCGCGUGCAGGAUGAAGGCCUUCGGGUUGUAAACUGCUUUUGUACGGAACGAAAAGACUCUUUCUAAUAAAGAGGGUCCAUGACGGUACCGUAAGAAUAAGCACCGGCUAACUACGUG
rnacentral:rRNA from 1 species